GCUAAACAGCUAGCUUAAUCAUUUAAUUAACUAUUACAAUAUUAAAAAUAUUAACAAAACCACAAUACCACAAACCAAAACAUUUUACCGCCCCAGUAUGUGUGACAGAAAAGGCACAACUUAAAGCCAUAGAAAUAGUACCGCAAGGGAACGCUGAAAGAGAAAUGAAAUAAAUCAUUAAAGCGCAAUAAAGCAGAGACUAAUCCUCGUACCUUUUGCAUCAUGAUUUAGCCAGCCCCCCCGAGCAAAACGCAUUUUAGUUCGAAGCCCCGAAACUAAGUGAGCUACCCCGAGACAGCCUAUUAAUUAGGGCCAACCCGUCUCUGUGGCAAAAGAGUGGGAAGAUCUCCGGGUAGGGGUGACAGACCUACCGAACUUAGUUAUAGCUGGUUGCAUAAGAAAUGAAUAGAAGUUCAGCCCCGCACUCCUUAACUCAAAACUUAUCUACGAGCCAAAGAAAUACGCGGAAGUUAUUUAUAGGGGGUACAGCCCCUAUAAAACAGGAUACAACCUCACCAGGAGGUUAAAGAUUAUAUUAAACAAGAUAAACUGCUUUAGUGGGCCUAAAAGCAGCCACCUAAAUAGAAAGCGUUAAAGCUCCGGCAGAGCCAAAAUUCAUUAUCCAAAUACUAAAUCUAAAACCCCUAACAUUAUUAGGCCACUCCAUGCUUCCAUGGAAAAGAUACUGCUAAAAUGAGUAAUAAGAAGGGAACCCCCUUCUCCAAAGCCUACGUGUAUGCUAGAUCGAACCCCCACUAGCAAUUACCUGAACCCAAAUCAAGAGGGAAAUGUAAUUAUAUUAAAUAUCAAGAAAUACUUACACGCACUAAUCAUUAAACCCACACCGGAAGGCUAUCAAGGAAAGACUAAAAGAAAAGGAAGGAACUCGGCAAACAUAAGCCUCGCCUGUUUACCAAAAACAUCGCCUCCUGCAAAAUUCAACGUAUAGGAGGUCUUGCCUGCCCAGUGACAAGUUAAACGGCCGCGGUAUUUUGACCGUGCGAAGGUAGCGCAAUCACUUGUCUUUUAAAUGAAGACCUGUAUGAAUGGUGGAACGAGGGCUUAACUGUCUCCCUUUUCAAGUCAAUGAAAUUGAUCUACCCGUGCAGAAGCGGGCAUAAAAAUACAAGACGAGAAGACCCUUUGGAGCUUAAGACAAAAGACCACCUAUGUAAAGAACAUAAAACAAGUUAAACAAAAUAGUGGCUGAUCCUAGUCUUCGGUUGGGGCGACCACGGGAGAAAACAGAGCUCCCACGAGGACCGGGGCACCCCCCCAAACCAAGAGAAACAUCUCUAAGUAUCAGAACCUCUGACCAUUAAGACCCGGCAACCUGCCGAUCAACGAACCAAGUUACCCUAGGGAUAACAGCGCAAUCCCCUUUCAGAGUCCAUAUCGACAAGGGGGUUUACGACCUCGAUGUUGGAUCAGGACAUCCUAAUGGUGCAGCCGCUAUUAAGGGUUCGUUUGUUCAACGAUUAAAGUCCUACGUGAUCUGAGUUCAGACCGGAGCAAUCCAGGUCAGUUUCUAUCUAUAACGCCACUAUUCCUAGUACGAAAGGACCGGAAAAAGGGGGCCCCUGCUACCAGCACGCCCCACCCCAACUUAAUGAAACCAACUAAAUUAAGUAAAGGGAGGGCAUAACCCAAAAAUCUAGAUAAGAUU
rnacentral:rRNA from 1 species